AACCAUUCUCACCUGCGGCUAGACCUGCGGAAGGAUCAUUACCGAGUGUGAACCCCCCCGUAAAAAAGAGGGGUUACCUCCCGUCCUUUGCUGGGAACCCCUUUCCAACUUGGAAGGAGGUUGUUUUCAGACCCUUCUGCUUCGGUGGGGUAACCCACCGGAACAACCUCAAAAAUAUUCUCAAUUCAAAACCGUUCAGUCCGAGAACUUUUUUGAAAAGCGAAAAAACUUUCAGCAAUG
rnacentral:misc_RNA from 1 species